GUCCACGCCGUAAACCAUGUUUGCUAGCUGUUGGUGUCCUUAGGGCAUCGGCGGCGGAGAGAAAUCAUUAAGCAAACCGCCUGGGGAGUACGGCCGCAAGGUUAAAACUCAAAGGAAUUGACGGGGACCCGCACAAGCGGUGGAGCAUGUUGUUUAAUUCGAAGCAACGCGAAGAACCUUACCUACCCUUGACAUACCAAGUAUGAUUUCCAGAGAUGGAUUUCUUCAGUUCGGCUGGCUUGGAUACAGGUGCUGCAUGGCUGUCGU
rnacentral:rRNA from 1 species